UCUGGUGGCGAUGCGCCUGAGGGAAACACCCGUACCCAUCCCGAACACGAUGGUUAAGCCUCAGGCGGCCGAUGGUACUGCACUGGAGACGGUGUGGGAGAGUAGGUGGCCGCCAGAC
rnacentral:rRNA from 1 species